UCUCUGAAGUACUCAGCCCUCACGUUGUCCACAUCUGGACUGAAUUUUACUGCCAAUGUUGGCAGUUUCACUCUGAGAUGUGCAUAAGAUGUUAUAUUUGUGGAAGAGGCCAGGAGUCCUCUGGUGGGAUAUCACAAGCUUAGAAUUCUUCGGGAGGACAACUCAUUAAGAGUCCGUGAAUUUCAAGAAAGUGUCCAUGACCAUGGGAAAACCAGGAUAGCAUAUGUAAAGAAGAUCCUUUACGUAAGUCAGGACAUGCAUGAGCAUCAUGUUUAUUGAGUAACAUCUCAUGGCCAGUCAUCUAAUAAUAUAGCAACUCUCAACUUGGCACAGUAUCAUUAUCCCUAUUUUACAGAUGGGGAAGCUGAGGAACAGAGUGAUACAGCACCUUGCUCAAGAUCAUCCAGCAAGCCAGUGGCAGAGGUCUCCUGAGUUCUAGUCCAGUGCUCUAUUCACUAGCUACACUGCCUCCCUAUGCAUGAAGGCCUUUAGAGUAUUUUCCAUAAUUUUUUCCAAUAGCUAUAUAGAAAUAGAUAUCUUAAGUUUGAAUGGGAAAUGAGUAUGGAUGAUGGAAGCUAGCAUUACAAUAUGUGAAACUUGACCUUUCUGAAAAAGCUGCUCAGAUUUUGGAGAGAUGAUGGGACAAAAAAAUCUUCUCCAGUAGAAGAACAAUGAAUAAGAUUAUCCCCUAUGUCCAACUGUGACACCUGACGGCCCAACUCCUUUAACGAGGAGUCUUUUUCUGGUCUGCGUCUCUGGUCUCAUGACAGGAAAACCUAAAGAGGCACUGGUGGGGAAGAGGCUGGAGUGGACUGGUAGCAUAUUCAAGCAGAAUUAUCUCAGUUAUCCACUAAUCCACAGCUGUACCAUAUCAAGCUGCAACAAAACCAACCAUGUGACAAGAAGUAUUAAAAAUAAGUGAUUU